UGGGUAUUGUACGUUGGAAAUUUUUAAAAAAUUAAUACCAUUAACUAGGCAUUUCCAGAUUUACUCGCUUGGGGUGGGCAUCCAUCGUCACGCUGUGGGAACCAUCUUCAUUGGCCAUCAUUCCCCUCCCCAAAUGAUGAUGAUCAUGAUGUUUCUCAUCUCAACUACACCAAUGUCAGACCAAAUCUUUGAUUUCUUCGCAUUCCUUCCUUCCUUUCUAUGGUAAUAUCCCAUUAUUGCAUCAAUUUGUGUUGAUUACAUGCACCUGCAAGUUUAUACAAAAAUUAAUAUAGUUUUCUAUAAUAUAUAUAUAUACAAGUAAUUCAUUGAUUUACAAGAAAAUGAUUACAUAAUUCAGGAGGAACUCAUUGUAUUUUUUGAUUAUAUCAAGUGUCAUUAAGACUAUGUUUGGCAAUCCAACUCCAAUCUUUAAAAUGGAAAUAAAAGAGCACUUUCAAUUUCAUAGAAUUGAGGCUCACUUUGAAUCCAAAUAUUUGGAAUUUAGUUGCUAGACAUAGCUUAAUAAGCAUUAGGCGUCAAGGCUUUUUUUUUCCUUCAAAAAAAAUAAUGACAUUUAGCCACAGAAAGAGCCUAGACAAACUACUAUGAUGGUUGGCCCGAACUUAAGGUGUAUUAAAAAGAUAACGACAAUUAGAAAGGUCAAAGCUAAGAAAACUAAUCAAGAAUCUAACAAAGACGGACGGUAGAUGUUAUGUUUCUAAUAAUUUGCUGAAAAUAAGCAAAAACUUGAAUGGAUCUACUUUGACCUGGGGAAAUUGGAGGAAAGUGGGCACGAAAACAGAGUCCAAACUCCGUUGUUUUCCAUUAUCCUCUGUUUUUGUCGACCUACCUACCUAUCCUCACUCGGUUCGUGCCGUGCCGUGCCGUGCCGUGCCAUUAUCAGAUGAAACAUCCAUAAUUGUGGAAAGUCACCAUCAAUAAUUAACGGCCGGAUCAACUACUACUUUGUCGUCUGCAUCCAUAGCCAUAGGUACGGUACACUGCAAAACAACCUCGAUCAAUCGGAUCAGAUGCAACUACAACAGGAAGCUUGCCAUUGUCUGCUUGAAAAUUCUGGACUAUACAGAAAAUGGGAUUUAAAGCACAUACACAGCCGCAGAAUUGGGACUUUUUAGCACAGUGAGAAAAUACAAUCAAAUGCUGAAAAGAGUAGCAAGAAUAAGAGGACUUCAGUUGAUAUAUGCCUCAUACAUUUGCAUCUUUUGGUUUGGCUUAUCCUCUAUUCCUAUGUCACCCACCCUCAGUAUGAAUAAUGAAUUUAGUUGCUUUACUUGCAGUUUGUGUACGACCAAAAUCCAAAAAUCAGUUUUCAAUGUUGUCACCUUUAAUUCCUGACAAAUUACUGAAUUCCACAAUCAACACAAGUAACAUAUCCGAUCCUGAAUUACAACUUAUCCAUUUUAAGAUUAAUUUCUAUCUUGCCUUACUUUUCCGGUUUACAUGUUUCUCAUUAUGUAUUAACAAGCAGGAAUCCAGCUAAUAAUGUCAGUGAGCAAGCCUGACAACAAACACAUCCAUUGUAGAUGAUGUUUGAUAAAAUUAAAUGAAAAGCUCUGAAUGUAUAACAAAAUCUGAAUCAGUUGAAUGAAGUAAAAGUUAACUGUCUGUCUAACACGUCUAAAUACAUGUAUUUCCCUAUAUUAUAUAUUAUGAACAAAUUUUUUAUGUAAUUAUAAAUAAACAAUGUUAUUUAAGAAAAAUUAAAUAUAAAUUUGUAAAGCAUGGAGUAUACUAUUAGUAAUAAUCACUAAUUUUUUUAAUAGCAUUCUAUCAGUCCAAAAAACCAAAACAAAAGACUACAACAACAUUCAUUAAAUUGGUUGUUGACCAAUUUGUUAAAGAAAAAAAUAUAUUCAAAAAUCAAUUUGUACAUAACAAAAUUUGUUUACAAUUAUAUAAAAAAAAGAUGGAUAUUAAAUGUAAUUUUUAAUUGUUUAUGAGGUCAGAGUUUAAAAAUUAUAAAACAAACUAUGUGAAUGAUUUAUUUGGUCAAAUAAAAUCUGCUACUACAAAUAAGAAGCACUAUUCGCCCAUUUGUUAUAUAUAGUCCACAAAUAAACUUUCAGAAAGAGUAGGAGGCAAACAAACGUAGGCCAGUAUAAAAUAUGAAAUGAGAAUGCAAACAUAUAGGACUCUGAGAAUUUAGUACGCAUCUAAACCGGCAGUGGUACUCUUAACACAAAUGAAUAUAUUACAAAUAAAUGAAUAAUUGAGAAAUUGACAUGCAUUGCCUCAGAAGGAGAAUCGGUGGCUAACACAGCCUGAGCCUGAGG
rnacentral:lncRNA from 1 species